rnacentral:rRNA from 1 species
GUGGGGAAUCUUGCGCAAUGCGCGAAAGCGUGACGCAGCAACACCGCGUGAGGGAAGACGGCCUUCGGGUUGUAAACCUCUUUCAGGAGGGACGAAGGUAGACCGGUGAAUAGCCGUGUCGACUGACGGUACCUCCAGAAGAAGCACCGGCUAACUACGUGCCAGCAGCCGCGGUAAUACGUAGGGUGCAAGCGUUGUCCGGAAUCAUUGGGCGUAAAGCGCGCGUAGGCGGCCCGAUAAGUCCGCUGUAAAAGUCAACGGCUCAACUGUUGAAAGCCGGUGGAUACUGUCGGGCUAGAGUACGGAAGAGGCAAGUGGAAUUCCUGGUGUAGCGGUGGAAUGCGCAGAUAUCAGGAGGAACACCUAUAGCGAAGGCAGCUUGCUGGGACGUUACUGACGCUAAGGCGCGAAAGCGUGGGGAGCGAACAGGAUUAGAAACCCUUGUAGUCC